rnacentral:rRNA from 1 species
ACACAUGCAGUCGGACGGUAGCACAGAAGAGCUUGCUCUUCGGGUGACGAGUGGCGGACGGGUGAGUAAUGUCUGGGAAACUGCCCGAUGGCGGGGGAUAACUACUGGAAACGGUAGCUAAUACCGCAUAACGUCGCAAGACCAAAGUGGGGGACCUUCGGGCCUCACGCCAUCGGAUGUGCCCAGAUGGGAUUAGCUAGUAGGUGGGGUAACGGCUCACCUAGGCGACGAUCCCUAGCUGGUCUGAGAGGAUGACCAGCCACACUGGAACUGAGACACGGUCCAGACUCCUACGGGAGGCAGCAGUGGGGAAUAUUGCACAAUGGGCGCAAGCCUGAUGCAGCCAUGCCGCGUGUAUGAAGAAGGCCUUCGGGUUGUAAAGUACUUUCAGCGGGGAGGAAGGCGGUAAGGUUAAUAACCUUGCCGAUUGACGUUACCCGCAGAAGAAGCACCGGCUAACUCCGUGCCAGCAGCCGCGGUAAUACGGAGGGUGCAAGCGUUAAUCGGAAUUACUGGGCGUAAAGCGCACGCAGGCGGUCUGUUAAGUCAGAUGUGAAAUCCCCGGGCUUAACCUGGGAACUGCAUUUGAAACUGGCAGGCUUGAGUCUCGUAGAGGGGGGUAGAAUUCCAGGUGUAGCGGUGAAAUGCGUAGAGAUCUGGAGGAAUACCGGUGGCGAAGGCGGCCCCCUGGACGAAGACUGACGCUCAGGUGCGAAAGCGUGGGGAGCAAACAGGAUUAGAUACCCUGGUAGUCCACGCCGUAAACGAUGUCGACUUGGAGGUUGUGCCCUUGAGGCGUGGCUUCCGGAGCUAACGCGUUAAGUCGACCGCCUGGGGAGUACGGCCGCAAGGUUAAAACUCAAAUGAAUUGACGGGGGCCCGCACAAGCGGUGGAGCAUGUGGUUUAAUUCGAUGCAACGCGAAGAACCUUACCUGGCCUUGACAUCCAGAGAACUUUCCAGAGAUGGAUUGGUGCCUUCGGGAACUCUGAGACAGGUGCUGCAUGGCUGUCGUCAGCUCGUGUUGUGAAAUGUUGGGUUAAGUCCCGCAACGAGCGCAACCCUUAUCCUUUGUUGCCAGCGGUAGUGCCGGGAACUCAAGGGAAACUGCCGGUGAUAAACCGGAGGAAGGUGGGGAUGACGUCAGUCAUCAUGGCCCUUACGGCCAGGGCUACACACGUGCUACAAUGGCGCAUACAAAGAGAAGC